rnacentral:lncRNA from 10 species
UUUUAUUUCUGAGAUGAUGUCUCACUCUGUCACCCAGGCUGGAGUAGCUGGAGUACAGUGGUGCAAUCUCAACUCACUGAAACCUCCGCCUCCCAGGUUCAAGCAAUUCUCAUGCCUCAGCCACCUGAGGUGCUGGGAUUACAGGCGUGCGCCACCAUGCCCAGCUAAUUUUUGUAUUUUUAGUACAGCCAGGGUUUCACCAUGGUAACCAGGCAGGUCUUGAACCCCUGACCUCACGUGAUCUGCCCACCUCGGCCUCCCAAAGUGCUGGGAUUACAGGCGUGAGCCACCGUGCCCAGCCAACUAAACGUACAUUUAUAAGUUUUAAGAUAAAAUGUUUAAGGCAGAUAGGAACUGCAUAUUGAUAUCAUUUUUAUGAUUUCCCAUCUUUUAAUGUAACUGACCAAUUACUGGUUAUUCCAUAUGUGCUGUAGGAUUCUUCUGUCAAGUUGAAUAUGUUAAAGGUCAUAAAAUAGAAACAUACAAGAGUACUGGGAUUAAACACACAUGUACUUGCACACACACACACACCCACUCAGAUGUCUAGCUAGAGAUCAAGAAGAGUUUUUUGUUUUGUUUUGUUUUGAGAUGGAGUCUCGCUCUGUUGCCUAGACUGGAGUGCAGUGGCGCGAUCUUGGCUCACCGCAACCUCCGCCUCCUGGGUUCAAGCGAUUCUCCUGCCUCUGCCUCCUGGGUAGCUGGGAUUACAGCCAUGACUAUGCCACUGCACUUCCUCCUGGGUAACAGAGCAAGACUCCAUCUC